rnacentral:rRNA from 1 species
CCAGACUCCUACGGGAGGCAGCAGUGAGGAAUAUUGGACAAUGGUCGGAAGACUGAUCCAGCCAUGCCGCGUGCAGGAUGAAGGUCUUAUGGAUUGUAAACUGCUUUUGUAAGGGAAGAAUAAGAGCUACGCGUAGUUUGAUGACGGUACCUUAUGAAUAAGCAUCGGCUAACUCCGUGCCAGCAGCCGCGGUAAUACGGAGGAUGCGAGCGUUAUCCGGAUUUAUUGGGUUUAAAGGGUGCGUAGGCGGUAUUACAAGUCAGGGGUGAAAUCUUGGUGCUUAACAUUAAAAUUGCCUUUGAAACUGUGGUACUUGAGUGUAAAAGAGGUAGGCGGAAUGUGUUGUGUAGCGGUGAAAUGCAUAGAUAUAACACAGAACCCCGAUUGCGAAGGCAGCUUACUAUCAUACAACUGGCGCUGAUGCACGAAAGCGUGGGGAUCAAACAGGAUUAGAUACCCUGGUAGUCCACGCAGUAAACGAUGAUUACUAGCUGUUAGCGAUAUAUUGUUAGUGGCUAAGCGAAAGCGAUAAGUAAUCCACCUGGGGAGUACGUUCGCAAGAAUGAAACUCAAAGGAAUUGACGGGGGCCCGCACAAG